GGGCCGUUAACUCAGUGGAAGAGUGCUAUCCUCACACGGUAGAAGUCGCAGGUUCAAGCCCUGCACGGCCCA
rnacentral:tRNA from 1 species